rnacentral:rRNA from 1 species
UACGUAGGGUGCAAGCGUUAAUCGGAAUUAUUGGGCGUAAAGAGCUCGUAGGCGGUCUGUCGCGUCGGAUGUGAAAAUCAGGGCUCAACCCUGGACCUGCAUUCGAUACGGGCAGACUAGAGUUCGGUAGGGGAGACGUGGAAUUCCUGGUGUAGCGGUGAAGUGCGCAGAUAUCAGGAGGAACACCGGUGGCGAAGGCGGGUCUCUGGGCCGAUAUUGACGCUGAGGAGCGAAAGCGUGGGGAGCGAACAGGA